CAUCCUCUGUUAAAAAUAAACCUGGAGGCUCAAUUCUCUAAAUGUCUUGUCCAGGAUAUUAACCAACACUGUGAAUGCCAUUCGAGGUAAAGUCUUCUCCAUCAAAGGCUGUUGAUGAAGAACCAGGCUUCUGCCAUGUGCUCACACUUCUUCAAACUGAUGACAUCCCAUGGUGAAGGUGAAGCUGGAGGGAGUAGAGGUGCCUGCGUACUUCACAAUGAGAUCCAGUUUCAACAUGUGAAGCCUUGGGGGACACACUCAACGAUGUCCAAAUGGCUGGGACUCUAGCUGCUUUGACAAAGUGCUCAGAAGUAUCCAAAUUCAUUACAAUGGUGCAUGGAAAACCAGAUUUGCAAGUUUUGGAGGAGGUUGAAAGUGAAUCAUCAGGUGACUCAUGCAUUGAUGAUGAUGAUGAUGAUGAUAAUUGAUGUUGGCCGUGUGAGCCAAAGUUCCUGUGAUGCUGAAAUGGAGCAAGAAUUGACUGAUAUAGACACAAGGAAUAAAGACCUCCCUGAUUCAGAUGAUGAAGAAAACAGCAAUCUUAGUACAUGUAUGACUAGUCCAAAUGGUACAAAAUGGUCAUGAAACCAAAUGAAAUGAUCCAAUGUUAGAACUAGGUCCAAAAAUAUAGUGAGGAUCUUGGCAGGGUGAAUCCAAUUGGAUGGAAUGUCAGCACUACCAUUCAAUGUUGGAAAUUAUUUGUAAGAGAAAAAAUGCUACAAGAUGUUGUGAAAUUCACAAAUGAUGAAAUACAAGUAAAAAGUUCUUUAUGCAUUGAUAACCAUACUAAAAAAUGUGUUUAUUGUGACCUCUUACUAGCUGAACUGAAAGCAUUCUCUUACUUUCUGAACUGAAAGCAUUCAUAGGUCUGCUGUACUUAGCAGGGCUUUCUCAUGAUAAUUGCAGGAAUUUAAAAGCUUUAUGGAGAAGUGAUGAGUGUGUUUAUAGAAUAACAAUGACACUGAGAAAAUUUGGUUUCCUUCAAAAUUGCCUGAAGCUUGAUGACAAAACCACUCACCAAGAAGGAGGAAGAAAUGAUAAUUCCGCUGCUGUCCACUCAUUGUUUGAGAGUUUUGUUUCAAAUUGUCAAGCAAUUUAUGCAACAUCUGAACACAUGACUAUUGAUGAACAUCUUGUAGCUUUUCAUGGUCACUGUAGCUUUAGGCAGUAUAUGCCCCCCCAAAUUCUUCAAAAUAUGGUAUAUUUUGAAUAUAUUCCUUAGUAGAUGCGAAGACAUUUAUAGUUUCAAUUUAGAAACUUAUUCUGAACUCAGUCACCAGGUUUUUAUUUGUAUUGUAAUAAAACUAAUGAUGUUGUGAACAGGCUUGUUGGUCCCAUCUCCCAAACUAAUUGGAAUGUGACAUUUUGAAUGGGAAAAUGCUUCCCUACAGUUAAAGCCAGACUUACUGAUGGGGAAGUCCCCCUACCCCCACUCUCUCAACACAUUUGAGCUUGCCUAGCUUGAUGCUACCUCACAAAUAUCUCAGGAAUUUUCUUUGUUCUCAAGCAGUUUCUACCUUCCCACCAGAUGUAAAUGAGAUGUGACUCCAUGCACUGUAAUGCUUGAUAACCAGUGAAUUUGCUUAAACCUCUAUAACCUGAACUCUUUGUAACCACUGAAAAGAAUGUAAAAUGUCUGUAAACCCACCCUCUUCUGAGAGUAUAUCUUGCCCUGUUCUACCUCAAGGGGGGGUCAGUCUCUUGGAAUGUGAACUCAUGCUGACCCACCAGUGCUGAAAAAUAAAGUGUGCUUUUCACUUUGGCUCGGAGACUUCCGGUAUGCUUUCCAUCCUCCCAGACUGCCAGCAUGGAACCGAAUUUUCUGCUUCAAUUUUAUUGUAGAUAGGUAAGUUAUUUAGAUAUCUUAUAGGCAGUUAGGGCUGGUCAUUGAGGAGUCAACAUGGAGGACAAUCAAAAUACAUUCACUGAAGACCAGCGUUAUAAAAAGAGAAACUUGCGGGGAAGCCACCCCAUCCAGCCCGUGCCAGCCAGGCACAUCUGCGGAUGCCACAGAGUGGUCUCCUGUCGCAGGAAACCCGCCCCAUCCAGCCCGCACCCCAGGCAGCGAUCCACUUAGCUGCGAAGGUGCCUGCAGGACCCCCGCCCAACUCCUCUGGCCUCUUAGCUGGACUGCCACCUGGUUCCGCACUACAGAGACACAGGGCACACCAGACCAGCAGACCACCAUACUGGGUAAGUUGGAGGGAUCAUCACCUCCCAUUGGA